UAUGCACAUUGUUAGAGCUUGGAGUUGAGGCCAUUAACUGGCUGGUGAACUCUCAAGUGUAGGUAGUGUGCUACAUGAGGGGCAAGUUUUUUCGCUAACACUCCAUUCUGACCCAGUGAGUGGAGUUUGAUAGUAAUCCUUGCUACAAGU
rnacentral:snoRNA from 1 species